rnacentral:rRNA from 1 species
AUUGAACGCUGGCGGCAUGCCUUACACAUGCAAGUCGAACGGCAGCACGGGUGCUUGCACCUGGUGGCGAGUGGCGAACGGGUGAGUAAUAUAUCGGAACGUGCCCUAGAGUGGGGGAUAACGUAGCGAAAGUUACGCUAAUACCGCAUACGAUCUACGGAUGAAAGUGGGGGAUCGCAAGACCUCAUGCUCAUGGAGCGGCCGAUAUCUGAUUAGCUAGUUGGUGGGGUAAAAGCCUACCAAGGCGACGAUCAGUAGCUGGUCUGAGAGGACGAUCAGCCACACUGGGACUGAGACACGGCCCAGACUCCUACGGGAGGCAGCAGUGGGGAAUUUUGGACAAUGGGGGCAACCCUGAUCCAGCAAUGCCGCGUGAGUGAAGAAGGCCUUCGGGUUGUAAAGCUCUUUUGUCAGGGAAGAAACAGCAACUCUAACACAGUCUGCGAAUGACGGUACCUGAAGAAUAAGCACCGGCUAACUACGUG